CACGUAGUUAGCCGUGGCUUUCUGAUUAGGUACCGUCAAGACGUGCAUAGUUACUUACACAUUUGUUCUUCCCUAAUAACAGAGUUUUACGAUCCGAAGACCUUCAUCACUCACGCGGCGUUGCUCCGUCAGGCUUUCACCCAUUGCGGAAGAUUCCCUACUGCUGCCUCCCGUAGGAGUCUGGACCGUGUCUCAGUUCCAGUGUGGCCGAUCACCCUCUCAGGUCGGCUACGCAUCGUUGCCUUGGUAAGCCGUUACCUUACCAACUAGCUAAUGCGGCGCGGAUCCAUCUAUAAGUGACAGCAAAACCGUCUUUCACUAUUGAACCAUGCGGUUCAAUAUAUUAUCCGGUAUUAGCUCCGGUUUCCCGAAGUUAUCCCAGUCUUAUAGGUAGGUUAUCCACGUGUUACUCACCCGUCCGCCGCUAACGUCAGAGGAGCAAGCUCCCCGUCUGUUCGCUCGACUUGCAUGUAUUAGGCACGCCGCCAGCGUUCAUCCUGAGCCAGGA
rnacentral:rRNA from 1 species